CCAGAUGGUACCAACCAGGUGUUCUAAUAUCCCAGAUGGUACCAACCAGGUGUUCUAAUAUCCCCAGAUGAUACCAACCAGGUGUUCUAAUAUCCCAGAUGAUACCAACCAGGUGUUCUAAUAUCCCAGAUGAUACCAACCAGGUGUUCUAAUAUCCCAGAUGGUACCAACCAGGUGUUCU